UGGAUUUUUAUGCCAAAAUUAUAGUCUUUCAAAAUAAGCUUUAAAUUUAAUUUAAUUUAGGAUUAUUACACUUCGGGAAAAAGGGGUAGAUUGUAUAAUAAAAUAUACAAUUUAAAACGAUAUACCAAAAGUCUAACGAAGGAGAAUGAACCUAUUUGUUGAUCUGUAAAUAAAACGACCGAAAGCAAAAAAUUUGUUCCAGAAGCUGAGUCAGAUUUCGCUCUCCGUUGUAUUCGAAACGAAAACACUGCAGCUGACGAAUUCGAUAUUUACUGGAGAAAAUGUUCUCAGCUUAGAUUUUCUCAAAUUGAACAUUCAGAGAGCACAAAUGACUUUUGAGAAGUUGGCCGGAGUACAAAAAGCCUUCUGGAAUUAGUUUGAUCGAUAUAGAUUUUUCACUUAAAUACCAAAUACCCUAAAUCCUGUAAUCUUAUUUUAAAGUGGCCACUUUACGAGAGGAAAAUCUGGCACUUAAUAUCAUCUAAAAUUUCAUCCAAAUUGGUAAUAAAUAUCGAUAAAUACGAUGAAGAAUCAAAAAUUUUCUUAAUAUUUUGGAAUUUGCACCAUAUUUUUCCACCACAACAAAAGCAAAUAACAGACGAAACUGGCGCAAAAAUACCUGACUCACAAAAUUCUUUUGCUCUUAUUGCCGAAAACAACAAAGAAAUGGAUAUAAAAGUGGAACUGUUGAAACUGUGCAAUACCAAUAUCCAGCCUCUACUGCUUGUUACGGGAGAACCGCAAAAUAAAUAAAUAUACAUUUAUUUCGAUGGAAUACGUUUUCCAAUUUUAAAAGUUUUAACGGCUGUAGAUUUGUUGUUUAAAAUAUUUUUUGUAUUUAAUUUAGAAUUUCCCGACGAAUCUAAUAUUUUUUACAACUUUAUUCAAACCUUUUUCUAUGAAAUUAAAUCUGACAAGAAAUGUCCAAAAAUCGCUGUGAUACAAAAUGAAAUUUUAAAUUUUACGUAAAAACUAAAAUGUAAAUCACACCAUUUGUAAGACUUGAUUCGUUUUAUAUUCACUUAUUAAUUAAUUAUAUAUUUCAAUGCAAAAAUUAAAAGAUUUAAUUUUUAUUAUAUGUAAUCAUUCCAUUCCCUUUGUAUAUAAAUAUAUAU